rnacentral:rRNA from 1 species
AUUGAACGCUGGCGGCAUGCCUUACACAUGCAAGUCGAACGGCAGCGGACCUUCGGGUGCCGGCGAGUGGCGAACGGGUGAGUAAUGCAUCGGAACGUGCCAUUGAGUGGGGGGAUAACGUAGCGAAAGUUGCGCUAAUACCGCAUAUUCUGUGAGCAGGAAAGCAGGGGACCGCAAGGCCUUGCGCUCUUUGAGCGGCCGAUGUCAGAUUAGCUAGUUGGUGAGGUAACGGCUUACCAAGGCGACGAUCUGUAGCGGGUCUGAGAGGAUGAUCCGCCACACUGGAACUGAGACACGGUCCAGACUCCUACGGGAGGCAGCAGUGGGGAAUUUUGGACAAUGGGGGCAACCCUGAUCCAGCCAUGCCGCGUGAGUGAAGAAGGCCUUC